rnacentral:misc_RNA from 1 species
GAAAUGCGAUAAGUAAUGUGAAUUGCAGAAUUCAGUGAAUCAUCGAAUCUUUGAACGCACCUUGCGCCCCUUGGUAUUCCUUGGAGCAUGCCUGUUUGAGUAUCAUGAAAUCUUCAAAGUAAAUCUUUUGUUAACUCAAUUGGUUUCUACUUUGGUAUUGGAGGUCUUUGCAGCUUCACACCUGCUCCUCUUUGUUCAUUAGCUGGAUCUCAGUGUUAUGCUUGGUUCCACUCGGCGUGAUAAGUUAUCUAUCGCUGAGGACACUGUAAAAGGUGGCCAAGGUAAAUGCAGAUGAACCGCUUCUAAUAGUCCAUUGACUUGGACAAUACUUUUAUGAUCUGAUCUCAAAUCAGGUAGGACUACCCGCUGAACUUAAGC